CUUUGGCUUUCAUUUUAUUUUUGUUUUCAGAUGUUCAUUGUAACUUACAUCACACAAUAAUUUCAUGUAACCUUGGUUCCCUGAAUAGGGAACAAGACGCUGCAUCCCUUUCAUAGAAGUGAACCUAUAAAGGGAACAGAAGAAUAUAACCAUCACGGAUCGCUUGUCAAUAUAACACUCCCACCUUGUGGCUUGUUACCUUAGUGCCACUAAUAAACCUGCAUUGACACUGAAGGCACGAUCUUCAUGUCAUUACUUGUAAUCUUUAUAAAAAUGACUGGGUCUGACAUAUAAAGCAUUAAACAUUUCCGUCAUGUUUAUUUGCACUAUUAAACUGAUGUAUAAUUCAGGUUCCUUUGGGAUACUCAUUUCAACGUACUGUGAUUUGGGACACAUUAGUGAUUGUGUGAAUGGAGUCGAUCCCAGUACAAUACUGACAUCCAGCGACCACACAGUGGAGCCCCAUCCUCGUUCUGACGAGACACCUGUGGGUAUUGGUGAGAUACUUCUAAAACAAAGUAUGGCAUGCCACACUGCAGGACAUUACAUUAUAAAAUAGUUUUUAAAAAUAACUAUAAUAAUGUUUUAAUAGACCACAUUUGCUGAAAAUAUUCCAUUGGCAAGAAGUUUGGGGAAGGAGAAUGCAGCUCCAUCUUUGAAGGGACCUGCAGUGAGGACCACCUUCAGGUGGCUGUAAAAUUCACAGCAGAAUUGGAAAACAAGCCGUACAUGAGCCUUGCCCCAGCUGUCACCACUGGACAAGCAGGACAAUCCCGACCAAUACAUCAUGGUCUUAGAGCAGCCCUUGCCCUCCAUUUUUGGCAGCAUUAUGACAGGCUCUUCAGUGAGGGGAUGACGUGUCAUUUCAUGCGGCAGGUGACUGAUACUGAUGCCAUGUGCUGUUCCAGGGGCAUCUUCCAUCAGGAGAUCAA